CUCAGCAAUGACUCUGUCUUGGGAGGGAGAGAGAGAGAAGAAGACCACUGCCUCAGCAAUGACUCUGUCUUGGGAGGGAGAGAGAGAGGAGGGGACACCGGCCUCUAAAAUGAGUCUCCUUCAAGGCAUUAGUUCUAAGAGAGUCAGAGAGAGGAAGGGAGCAGAAUCACCUACACCCAGCCUGUUAUCAACGAAGAGUGACAACUUAAUGUUUCAACCACCUGAAUUCAGCAGGGAACCUCUGAGCGAUGAGAAAAUAUAUGAAAGAUAUAAGUCCAGGCUGCAGCAAGAGGAUGACAAAUAGUUGCAGCUGAAAUAUCUAUUUAUAUUUUCAAAACUCAAGUCAUAUGAAGGUAAAUUAAUGUUUUUAGGUUGUUAUCUCCGGAGUCAGAAAGAGAAACGGAGCUGAAUCACUUACACCCAGCCUGUUAUCAAUAAAGAGUGACAACCACCUGAAUUCAGAAUGGACCAAAAGUAUGUGGACACCUGAUAGUCGAACAUCUCAUUCCAAAAGUUGAUCCCCCUUUAGCUGCUAUAACAGCCUCCACUCUUAUGGGAAGGCUUUCCACUAGAUGUUGGAACAUUGCUGCAGGGACUUGCUUCCAUUCAGCCACAAGCGCAUUAAGGUCGGACACUGAUGUUGGGUGAUUAGGCCUGGCUUGCAGUCUGUGUUCCAAUUCAUCCCAAAGGUGGUUGAUGGGGUUGAGGUCAGGGCUCUGUGCAGGUCAGUCAAGUUCUUCCGCACCGAUCUCGACAAACCAUUUCUGUAUCGACCUCGCUUUGUGCACGGAGGCGUGUCAUGCUGAAACAGAAAGGGGCCCUCCCGAAACUGGUGCCACAAAGUUGGAAGUACAGUAUAUUCUAGAAUGUCAUUGUAUGUUGGCACAUUGGAUUCUUCCGAUGGCAUUGAGGAGUACACCACAUCAAUCAUUGGCUUCAUCAGUAAGUGCAUCGAUGACGUUGUCCCCACAGUGACCGUACGUACAUACCCCAACCAGAAGCCAUGGAUUACAGGGAACAAACGCACUGAGCUAAAGGGUAGAGCUGCCGCUUUCAAGG
rnacentral:lncRNA from 1 species